rnacentral:rRNA from 1 species
AGUGAACGCUGGCGGUAGGCCUAACACAUGCAAGUCGAACGGCAGCACAGUAAGAGCUUGCUCUUACGGGUGGCGAGUGGCGGACGGGUGAGGCAUACAUCGGAAUCUACUUUUUCGUGGGGGAUAACGUAGGGAAACUUACGCUAAUACCGCAUACGACCUACGGGUGAAAGCAGGGGAUCUUCGGACCUUGCGCGAUUGAAUGAGCCGAUGUCGGAUUAGCUAGUUGGCGGGGUAACGGCGCACCAAGGCGACGAACCGUAGCUGGUCUGAGAGGAUAGACAGCCAAACUGGAACUUGAACACCGGCCAAACUUCUACGGGAGGCAGCAGUGGGGAAUAUUGGACAAUGGGCGCAAGCCUGAUCCAGCCAUACCGCGUGGGUGAAGAAGGCCUUCGGGUUGUAAAGCCCUUUUGUUGGGAAAGAAAAGCAGCAGGUUAAUACCCCGCUGUUCUGACGGUACCCAAAGAAUAAGCACCGGCUAACUUCGUG